rnacentral:lncRNA from 10 species
ACUUUUUACAGUUGUUUGACAUUCGGCAAGUAACACUGAAAUGUUAAAAUGAUCUUAAUACUAUGUAGCAUCUGUUUUAAAUUAAAUAAAAUAAUAGGUUUAAAUGUAGAAUAACAUCACAUAUUAUUAAACAUAUAGAAGAAUUACAUCUUUGUGAGAUAAUUAACAUAAUCUAUCAAAACUUUAAGGGUAGGCGGAGUGUGCACAGUGGCUCAUGCCUGUAAUCCCAGCACUUCAGGAGGCCAACAUGGGUGGAUCACUUGAGGUCAGGAGUUCAAGACCAGCCUGACCAACAUGGUGAAACCUGGACUCUACUAAAUACAAAAAUUAGCUGGGCAUGGCAGUGCACGCCUGUGGUCCCAGAUACUUGGGAGGUAGAGGCACAAAAAUAUCUUGAACCCUGGAAUAGGAGGUUGCAGUGAGCUGAGAUUGCACCACUGUCCUCCAGCCUGAGCCACAGAGUGAGACGCUGUCCCCCCCCCCCACCAAAAAAAAUAAGAACUUUAAGGGUAUAUUCCCUACAUAUCUAUGAUCCAGUAACUUUGCUUCAUGGAAUCUUCAAGAGAAACAACAAAAGCUAAGCACAUAACGACAGUGAUAAUAAUAAUAAUCAUGAUACAUUUGAAGCAAACUAAAUAAGGCAGUGACUAAAUAAUCUGUCAUACUAUGGAAUAUAAUGCAAUUGCAAAAAAUUGACCAAAAUUAUUAAUUUUCUAUAUGUAUGUAUGUGUGUGUGUAGCAAUGUGAAUGUGUUUCCAAAGCAAGUUGUACAGUGUUGACAAAGUUCUAAUAAUAAUACGUGUAGUAUCAAUGUUUACAAAACGAAAUUAAAUCUAAGUAAUGUUCUGUGUUUUUAUGGAUACAUUUAUGUUUGCAGACACAUAAAAAUUGCCUGGAAGAUAUGCUUUAAAAUAAUAAUUGUUUCCUCUAGUGAGAGUGUGAGGUCACUGUCAAUGUUGAAGUUUGGGUUAUCUUGAAGAAAAACGUUAUUAAAAAGAAUAAUAUAUUUACUGCCUGCACAAUUAAAAUUGAAUUUAAUGAAGAGGGAAAACUAUUCUGAGAUCAUAUUUUAUUGAAUUUGAGCAAAAGGUAAUGUUACUAUUUUGAAUGCAAGCCAACACAUACACACUUUAUCUAUUUAAAUAUAGCUGAUCUAAAACAAAGUUUUCUGGUGUCAACAGUCUCUAUAUCUGUAGUGGGUACUCUCGAUUUAAUAGAAAACUAAUUACUGCACAACUUAAAAAAGUGCAAUCAAAAGGAAAACAAUUAGUUGAAUUGAAGUUUAUAGAGAAUAAUGAUAAUUUAAUGAAAAAUAUUUUAUAGCAAUUGUAGUCAGCCUUGAUUAACAGAAUUUCUAUUUAUAUAAUUUCACUAAAUUUAAACAUUAUAAAACAAAAAAAAAUCCUACUAUCCUAUGGGUUUUAUGAAAGUCAGUUUUCAGUUAUGGACCAAUAUUUUGUUUUCUGUUUGUGGAAGAAAAAUUUCACAUAAUUAUUUCGGUUUACUUUGUUUUCUGUAUUAGAAAAACUUCCUUGAAGAAGACUAUUCUUGACUUCAAGUGAAAUUAUUCACAGUAACUAUCACCCUGUGAUACUCCCAAGAAAGAGUGCCAAUGGUGUAUAUUUCAGCCUGCUUGAUAGAUAUUGGGCACACCUUGCAUGCAUAAUGUUGGCAUUUAACCAUUGCUCCAGAUAUUGUGUUCAGUGGGUUCUAGAUAAUUGUUAAUUUUUGUUGUUUUCCCAAGACUUAAAAAAAUUGUAUUAUUUAAAUACUUUCAUUCUACAUAGUUAUUUAAAUAUCGUUAUUAAAAGUUCCUAAAAUGCAGUCUCGGAGAACUACAGUUGAGUACCUCGAGAGUAGUCAUAGACUUGGUGUACAAGGAAUUGCUUCUUACUUGACUGCUCUAUAGAGCUGUAGUUCUCAAAGUGUUGUCCAUAGAUGCUUGUGAAACUCUAACACUCAUUCAGGUAGUUUGUGUGUUAAAAUUACUUUCAAAAUAAUGCUAAGACUUAUUUCUGGUCUUUUUUAUUGUAUUGAUAUUUGGACUGAUGGUAUAAAAGCAAUUGUAGGUGAAACUACUAGUGCCUUACAGUCCUACUAGUGCUCACAGUCCUGACACUGUCUUUGCAUUUGCAGGAAAAAUUUAAAAGGGAGAGGAGGACGGGUAGGAGGAGAAAGAAAAAGCCACCGGUUUCAAUUAGGCAUUUCUUCUAGCAGAAAAAACAACAACAACAACAACAAACCAGCAAAACCUCAACCUUUGGAUAGAUACAUUUUUAAUACAUUGAGUGAUGAAAUAAAGUGUAUUCAUAAAGCAUUUUGCUGCAUACCAAAGUACAAUUGUCUCUCAAAGAGAAAAUGCUUCUGUGAUUUUUUUGGACUACAAACUAAAAUAGCCACUUAAAAAAAAAAGGAACACUAUUUUUAUUUGAAAGAAUGACAGAUAAACUAUGUUUAAUUGAAUUUCUGCAUGCGGUGAUAGUUUCUUGAAAAUAGAUGAAGUGAACCUGUCACCUGUAGGAAAACAAGUGUUCGUAGUCAAUGAUAAAAUCUGAGCUUUCAAGUUAAAAAAUUAGAAUUUUACAAAACUCAUAUUUGCCACCAUGUGCUUGACACCUUUCAAACUUGAAGGAUUUGCUGAUCAAAUCAGUGGAGAGAAUAAUUUUGAGUUUAAAAAAUAUUAUUUAAUAAAAUAUAUCAACAUUUGGAAGACUUGCAUAGCUCAGUGAAUAAAUACUUUCCAAAUAACCAAGAACCCGAUGAUACAAAAUUAUGCACAGAUUAAAGAUCCAUUAAAAAUGCAAGACAGAAUAACAUUUUUUAAAUUAUUGUCUGAAAAGUUUGUUUACAUGUUUUCAGAUUCCACAAUGCGAUUAAUCUUUAAUAAACUAAUGCUUGUUGAAUGCCAUAGUGUCAAAAUUGCGUAUCUAUAUUUAUUUGAUGAGACUUGAGCACCAUGUAUUAAGUUAGACCAUAAAAAGAUGAGGCAAAUUAAAGAUUUAAUCCAGGCAGUCAUUUUCUAACCACUACUUAUAAAUAUCAGGUUCAGUGUCAGUUAUUUCACUGUCAGUGCAACCUGAGAAUUCAAGUUCUUAUUUCCUCAGGCUGGGAAUGUUCAGCCUGAAGCGCAUGAGUUUUGUGGGGCUACUUCUAUGGCUCACACGGUAUCUUCCUUUGUUUCCAUCCUUUAGAGACUAAUUUUAUUAUAGAAACAUAUACCAGUGAAGACUUCACAUUUUAAUGCUGCAUACAUGCUGAUCAGUACUCUGAUAAAAAAUAAAGCAUGAUGAAAAAAUAGUGAUUGAUAAAGGAUGCUCUUUUUGUUUUUUGUUUUUUGUUUUUUUUUAAGACGGAGUUUCGCUUUUGUUGCCCAGGCUGGAGUGCAGUGGCCCAAUCUCGGCUCACAGCAACCUCCACCUCCCGGGUUCAAGCGAUUCUCCUGCCUCAGCCUCCCAAGUAGCUGGAUUACAGGCAUGCACCACCACGUCCGGCUAAUUUUGUAUUUUUAGUAGACUAGGUGGACAAAUAGCUUCUCUGAAGAGGUGACCAGCAAGUAAACAAGCUCUGAAAAUAUCUGGGUAAGAACUUACCUGGAAUUGGGAGGUAAGUACCUGUUUGUCAUGUUCAAUGGAGAGAAAUAAGUCUCAGUUGUGCAGCCAAAGUUAAUUAAGCAGGGAAUGAUAACAGAUAGGUGGGAGAAGUUGUCAAGUAAGAGGUCAUAAAAGUCCCUAUGGGCAUAAAUGAAAAUGUAUAUAGAAGGGUGAUAUAUUUUGAAUAUCUGUUUCUUCUAAAUCUCAUGUUGAACUGUACCCCCUCCCCUCCAUUUUGGAGGUGGGGCCUAGUGGGAAGCUUUUGGGUCCUGGGUGCAGACCCUUCAUAAAUGGCUUGGUGCUGUAUUUGUGGUAGUGAGUGAGUUCUCUAUUAGCUCACAUGAGAGCUGGUUGUUUAGAAGACAUGUAACACACCUGAUCCCGCUUUGCCUGCUUCCAUAACUGUAGGUUUCCUGAGGCCCUCACCAAAUGCAGAUGCUGGCACUGUGCUUCUUUUCCAUCUGCAGAAUCAUGAGUCAAAAUAAACCGCUUUUCUUUACAAAUUAUCCAGCCUCAGAUAUUCCUUUGUAGUAACACAAGUUUAAUUAUCCUUUGUGUUAACAAAGGGUAAUUAAAAGUUAAGAUGGAAGUCAAAUUUCUUUGGCUCAAUUCUAGCUCUAUCCUGUAUUACCAGUGUCAGGCUGUUUAACCUACAGCACUUCCAUUUUUUUCUUGUAGGCUCCUGAGAGUAACCAUCAUAUUUGGAGAAAGAGUAUUUGCAAAAGAGCCUCACCACAUGGCCAAC